GCAAUCACACCAGCACUAAUGCAACGGAUCCCAUCAGAACUUCGAAGUUAAGAUUGCUUGGGCGAGGGCAGUACUAGGAUGGGUGACUCCCUGGUAAGUCCUCGUGUUGCACCU
rnacentral:rRNA from 1 species